rnacentral:rRNA from 1 species
AGUCGAAACUAAUUAUACAUAAAAAAAGCAGUUAAAUACCUAAUCAAAUUAUAAACAAAUUAUAAGUUAAAGAAUAACUACACUUACUAUUCAAAUAAAUGAAUAAUCAAUAUUUUAUUAUUUAUAAUGUUUUACUUUAUUUAAAAUUAUAC